CGGAGUGUGGUGGAGGGGGGCGGGUAAUUGUGGAGGGGGGGAUCGUUAUCCGGAAUCACUGGGUUUGAAGGUGGCGUAUGCUGUGUAUGAUGGAAGUGGUGAAAGGCCGUCGCUUAAAGAUGGGACUGCCAUUGAUACUGGUAGACUUGAAUCAGGUUUAGGUUGGCGGAAUGUGGCAUGUAGCGGUGAAAUGCAUAGAUAUGCCAUGGAAUACCGAUGGCGAAGGCAGCUGACUGGACCUUGAUUGACGCUGAGGCACGAAAGCGUGGGUAGCGAACAGGAUUAGAUACCCUAGUAGUC
rnacentral:rRNA from 1 species